rnacentral:rRNA from 1 species
AGACCCGAAACCCGGUGAUCUAGCCAUGGGCAGGUUGAAGGUUGGGUAACACUAACUGGAGGACCGAACCGACUAAUGUUGAAAAAUUAGCGGAUGACCUGUGGCUGGGGGUGAAAGGCCAAUCAAACCGGGAGAUAGCUGGUUCUCCCCGAAAGCUAUUUAGGUAGCGCCUCGUGAAUUCAUCUCCGGGGGUAGAGCACUGUUUCGGCUAGGGGGCCAUCCCGGCUUACCAACCCGAUGCAAACUGCGAAUACCGGAGAAUGUUAUCACGGGAGACACACGGCGGGUGCUAACGUCCGUCGUGAAGAGGGAAACAACCCAGACCGCCAGCUAAGGUCCCAAAGUCAUGGUUAAGUGGGAAACGAUGUGGGAAGGCCCAGACAGCCAGGAUGUUGGCUUAGAAGCAGCCAUCAUUUAAAGAAAGCGUAAUAGCUCACUGGUCGAGUCGGCCUGCGCGGAAGAUGUAACGGGGCUAAACCAUGCACCGAAGCUGCGGCAGCGAACGUAUCACCCAAGACAACUUUACGGAGUUGACGAUUGACGGAGCGAAGCGACGUCAAAGCGUUCAUUAAAGUCGAGUUGGCUUAGGGAUACGUUCGUUGGGUAGGGGAGCGUUCUGUAAGCCUGUGAAGGUGUGUCGUGAGGCAUGCUGGAGGUAUCAGAAGUGCGAAUGCUGACAUAAGUAACGAUAAAGCGGGUGAAAAGCCCGCUCGCCGGAAGACCAAGGGUUCCUGUCCAACGUUAAUCGGGGCAGGGUGAGUCGACCCCUAAGGCGAGGCCGAAAGGCGUAGUCGAUGGGAAACGGGUUAAUAUUCCCGUACUUGGUGUUACUGCGAAGGGGGGACGGAGAAGGCUAUGUUGGCCGGGCGACGGUUGUCCCGGUUUAAGCGUGUAGGUGUGUGUUCCAG